GCCUUCGUAGUGUAACGAUAGCAUAUUCGGUGCGUACUCGAAAUGUCCAGGUUCGAGUCCCGGUGAGGGCA
rnacentral:tRNA from 1 species